UGGGGAAUAUUGGACAAUGGGGGGAACCCUGAUCCAGCCAUGCCGCGUGUGUGAAGAAGGCCUUAUGGUUGUAAAGCACUUUAAGCGAGGAGGAGGGUACUGGUAUUAAUACUACCAGGUACUGGACGUUACUCGCAGAAUAAGCACCGGCUAACUCUGUGCCAGCAGCCGCGGUAAUACAGAGGGUGCGAGCGUUAAUCGGAUUUACUGGGCGUAAAGCGCGCGUAGGUGGUUCGUUAAGUUGAAUGUGAAAGCCCCGGGCUCAACCUGGGAACUGCAUCCAAAACUGGCGAGCUAGAGUAGGGCAUAGGUUGUUGGAAUUUCCUGUGUAGCGGUGAAAUGCGUAGAGAUAGGAAGGAACACCAGUGGCGAAGGCGACCACCUGGGCUCAUACUGACACUGAGGUGCGAAAGCGUGGGGAGCAAACAGG
rnacentral:rRNA from 1 species